rnacentral:tRNA from 17 species
GCGGGAGUGGUGGAAUUGGCAGACACGCAGGAUUUAGGUUCCUGUGCCUCACGGCGUGUGGGUUCAAGUCCCACCUUCCGCA